rnacentral:rRNA from 1 species
UACAGAGGGGGCAAGCGUUGUUCGGAAUUACUGGGCGUAAAGGGCGCGUAGGCGGCCUGCUAAGUCGAACGUGAAAUCCCCGGGCUCAACCCGGGAACUGCGUCCGAUACUGGCAGGCUUGAAUUCGGGAGAGGGAUGCGGAAUUCCAGGUGUAGCGGUGAAAUGCGUAGAUAUCUGGAGGAACACCGGUGGCGAAGGCGGCAUCCUGGACCGAAAUUGACGCUGAGGCGCGAAAGCCAGGGGGAGCAAACGGG